CUCUCUCUCUUUCUCUCUCCUCCCUCCUCUUUCUCUCUGUCUCCUCUCUCUCUUUCUCUCCCCUUCCCCUCUCUCUCCAUUCCCCCUCUCUCUCUCCUCCCUCUCUCUCCCUUCCCCCUCUCUCUCUUUCUCUCUCCUCCCUUCUCUUUCUUUCUCUCUCCUCCCUCUCUCUUUCUCUCUCCUCCCUUCUCUUUCUCUCUCUCUCCUCCCUCUCUCCUGUCUCCCCCCUCUCUCUUUCUCUCUCUCUCCUCCCUCUCUCUAUCUUUCCCCCUUCCCCCUCUCUCUCUUUCUCUAAAGGGGAGUCAAGCUGAGGACACAGGUCUCUAUGACAACCUGCUAGCUCAGGAUGUGUCAUAGGAACUUGAUUAUCUAGAUUACAUUAGUGUGUGUUGUGUUGUGUUGUGUUGUGUUGUGUGUGUGUGUCUCCAGGGAACAUAAUGUGUCCGCUGCUACAGAAGAGUAGAAACAGGAAGCUGUAUUUGAUUUAAAGCAGCUUUUAGUAACUGCGAAUCUAGUUAUUAUAUUGACACUGUAAUAUACACACUGUCCUUGUUGACGGUGUUUCAGCCGUAUCAUCGACCCUCUCGUGUCAUGUGGAGACAUAAUAUCGUGUCUGUCUGCCGUUACGUCUGACCGUGACGUUUAUACUGGACAGAUGUAGCUGACUGACUGAAACCGGUGAACCGACAAAAACUUCUUAUUCAUACCAAUAUAAUAGACUAGGAUGACGCAAGUCAGGUGAUAUCCCGUUUAAAGAGGUGUCUACGGUGUUUGAGGUCGGAGUGACAGCGGCGUUAGGCAGCGGGCGGUGGACGUUUCUCCGCCUGAAGCAGCAGCGGGCAGGACCGGAGCAAGCACCGGGAGUUCCCUUCAGAUGGAGGCGGUUAACGGACAGGAGCCAGCAGCACCGAGAGCAUCGACCCGGGAGGCACGGAGAAUAAACACGGUUCCGUUGUCCUAGGAAUAGAGGCUCAGACGGCGCCGGAAGGAAAGAUCACCAUCACCCCAAAGCCUCCUGCUUCUCCUCUCCUCUGUUAGCUCUGUGUGUGUCUUGGAGGGAAGGUUGUGUAGCCUAGGUGUGUGUGUGUAUGGUUGUGUCGUGGUUGUGAGUAUGUUAGCUUCCGGGUGUGUGUAGCGUGUGUUUUGCAAGGAGAGUGUUAGAAGUGUGUGUGUGUGUGUGUAGUGUACCAUAAUGAGUGCAGCAGGAGUGGAGCGACAGAGGCCGACCCCAGCACAGACCCCUGAGGAGAGAGGGGGGGGAGAGGGAUGGGGCCAGGGAGGGAGAAAGGAGAGAGAGGGAUGGGGCCAGAAAGGGAGAGAGGAGAGAGAGGGACGGGGUCAGACAGGGAGAGAGGAGAGUGAGGGAUGGAGUGAUGCAGGAAGAGAGGAGAGGGAGGGAUGGGGUCAGACAGGGAGAGAGGAGGGAGAGGGAUGGGGUCAGGGAGGGAGAGAGGAGAGAGAGGGACGAGGUCAGACAGGGAGAGAGGAGAGAGAGGGACGGGGCCAGACAGGGAAAGAGGAGGGAUGGGGUCAGGGAGGGAGAGAGGAGAGGGAGGGAUGGGGCCAGACAGGGAGAGAGGAGAGAGAGGGACGGGGCCAGACAGGGAGAGAGGAGAGAGAGGGACGGGGUCAGACAGGGAGGGCAGGAUGGAGGGAGGGCAGGGAAAGCAGUGGAGUGCAGAGCUAUAGCUUCGACUCGUACCAGCUGGAGGAAGAGGAGGGGACCAAGAGCGUACCGGAGAGAGGGGUGCUGGCCCUGGCAGAACCAGCCUUUGAGGAGCCAGUCCCUGAUGACCGUUACCAUGGUAUCUACUUUGCGAUGCUAUUGGCCGGCGUGGGCUUCCUGCUUCCCUACAAUAGCUUCAUCACCGACGUGGACUACCUUCACCACAAGUUCCAGGGUAACACACACACACACACACACACACACACACACACACACACAGACACACACACACACACACACAGACACACACACACACACACACAUGCAGUAUUGUAGUGACCCUGCAUUCACAAGCACAUAGACUAUAUCAAUGGAACCCGCUUUCUUGAAGCCGUAUCCUGACCCCGAACCUUGUGGAUUUGACAAGCUCACUGUCUCCCUAUUUGAUUACAGGACAGAGAGAGGUAGAGAGGGAAGAUACCAGAGUUUACUGGGAAAUAGACCCCAGUGUUAAACUCCUGUUGUAGAGACAGCAGUCUGGACCACCAGACGACCCCAGUGUUAUAAUGCUGUUGUAGAGACAGCAGUCUGGACCACCAGACGACCCCAGUGUUAUAAUGCUGUUGUAGAGACAGCAGUCUGGACCACCAGACGACCCCAGUGUUAUAAUGCUGUUGUAGAGACAGCGGUCUGGACCACCAGACGACCCCAGUGUUAUAAUGCUGUUGUAGAGACAGCGGUCUGGACCACCAGACGACCCCAGUGUUAUAAUGCUGUUGUAGAGACAGCAGUCUGGACCACCAGACGACCCCAGUGUUAUAAUGCUGUUGUAGAGACAGCAGUCUGGACCACCAGACGACCCCAGUGUUAUACUGCUGUUGUAGAGACAGCGGUCUGGACCACCAGACGACCCCAGUGUUAUAAUGCUGUUGUAGAGACAGCGGUCUGGACCACCAGACGACCCCAG